GGCCGACCGCCGGCGUAGAAACGGCAAUGUCAUCGUCUUUGUGGGAAUACUUGACUUCUUGGCACAGGUAUUUCUUUAGAGCUAAAAGGCCGACGACUGUGACGGAGUAAGUUGAUUAGGCCAUUAUUUUUCAUAAUCUAUAUCAUUGAUUCACUUUAUCUUCAAUUUACAAAUAUCUUUUUAACUAAAUUAAACACAUCUGAUCCUUACACUUAUCAUUUCUUAUGCCCUUGCUAUUACUGUAUCAGCUCCCAUUAUACAUAGUUCUCAUUCAAUCAUUCAUUAAUUUUCUUUUUGGUUCCUAGUGUAAUUUCUAGGUAAAGACUAGGUUACCAUCAGCACUCUACUCCUUCUUUGUGUUCUUACAUUUUACUGUUGUGCUGUGAAGUUUAUAAUAAUAAUAAUAAUAACAAUAAUAAUAAUAAUAAUAUUGCUAGAUUAAUUCACACUAUGCACAUUCCA